rnacentral:rRNA from 1 species
GACCCUCAAUCAGGAG